GAAUCGCGAAAGUGCAGAGCUAACGUAGCCUGGGAUAACUUCAUUAUUACAACGUCCUUAUACCAGUUUUCAAAACUACAACGGUGAUUUAUUAUUGUUUUUAUGUCCUAAAAAUGUCCCCGCACCUGAGUUUUGUCCCAACUAUUACACUUCAACUGCGUCUUGGCCUCGAGUCAUCCAUGUUGCAUUACACUUGAAAUAAUAAUUUGAGCACCUUUUGCAAGCAAUGCAAAAACUCAUCAGGGACCAUUUGAUUCAUCUGCUGUUACAAAAUCCUUUUAGGAGUUGGAGCAAAAUCGCAGCUGCUGCGAGAACAAAAGACCUUAAAUAUAACAACUAAAAUGUCUUUGUAGUAUUCUAAACCCUUUAAAGGGACUGAGUCGAUGAGUUCGACAGAGGCUGUAUUUUUAGAUCGACUUCAUUAAACGUGUAUCUCUGUAAGUCACACGAGGUGAGGUGAACUAAACUUCCGGUGAACUUCUGCUGAGCCUCAGAGGCGGCGGAUCUUCCUCUCCGUGUGUCUCUGUCUGUCAGUGUACGAUCCUGCUGUGGCAGGCGUCCGCGGAGCCGCCGAGGGUUUCCUUCAGCAGGAUUACAGAACAAACCUGAGAGACCGCACCUCACAAAUGGACCCAGUCCCACACACGUUGGAGCCAAAUGUUUAUGUGGUACACGGUGAAGUACUGCAGGCUGUAGAGGCAGUACACACGGAGUGAAGGCUGCAAAUACUCAAAAGGAUCAAAACACAAUAUCACGCUGAGCUGAAAACGACAAAGACCUACAACUGCCUUUUAGAAGUUGUUUUUUUUUUUUUUUUUUUUUUUUCCAGCCGGCUGGAGCUCCGGCUGUCACGUCGUACUGUGUCCUGUGCUUGGUGGCCGCAGUGAAAUGUAAAAAUUAGGACAGAAGAUGUUGAAUCACAAAGUGACGACUUGGACCAUUUGGCAGCGCAGCACACGAUAACUGAGACAAAACAAUGGUUGUUCAGAUCAUUAGUCACUUGGUCCUGCAAGAACUGUUGAAACUCUUAAAAAGGAAGUCCUUUUUUUUUGUUCUUGUUUUUUACUCUACCAACUUUUUCUUGGCUGUGUCGUGGUGACGAGGCCUCAUUAGUUUUUCCUGCGUCUCCUGUGACUGCAGUACAGCGGUGUUUACCAUAAAAAGUGGGGUCAUCUGGUUCCAGUGACAUGAUUACUGCCCACUCAGUGUCAACGGUGAGUGGGGGAGAAUUACAUGUUUAACUGGCCACCUGAAACAGUAGAGGCCCGGCCGCCGCCUGUAAUCCCACGAGCUGCCGUAUCAGUUGAACACCGCGCUUUAAGAGAAGCCGCUUGAUGACAUUCAAGACUGAGACGUUCAUCUGAGUGUAGACCGUACUGUAUCUGAAGAAGGUUGGGUUCACUGGGAUGGAAGCCUAAAAAAUAUGUAAAUUCCUUUGACUUCAUUAAUCAAAUGAUUAAAUCUUUUUUUUAUCUAAUUAACCCCAGGGUAGCUCUGGAUUAAUCUGUAUUAAUCCAGUUUAAUCCUGGUUAAAUUACAUUCCUAAAUAUGAUGAUUUUUUUUUCAGCAGAUACAUGUCAGAUGCACACUCUCUCUGCCUCGUGUGCGUGUUCUUUGCGAGCUCGCCUCAGAUUUCAAGAUAUGCGAUUUAAUCAGGAGGCAACAAGUUUCCCGAAACAGGAGACUCGGUCGGGAUGUUGGCAGUUAACUUUAUUUAGCCCUGGAACUUGAAAAGGCAACCAAACCCUAGUAUUUCCUGGUUAAUUACAGUUGUGAAAAGGCGUCAGUGAGACGUCGGAGGAAACGGUUUUUGUGUUGGUGGGUUUGAUCCCUGACUUUGUGAUUCUUUUGGCGUCACUUUCAAGAACUGUAUUAGUGAAUGUUUUAUGAUGAAUACUGCACGAAGACGUACAGUGAAUGUGUGAAUGUGACCGUGCUCUGAAUUAUUUCUAAAUAAAGAACAUUUACCGUUUACGUCACGCUGAGUCACAGGCCGUGUCUUGGUAAUUAUUCUGGAACGAGUCUCUCAAGAAGACGGUAUAUUCUGGAGCUCGUAUGACCUGAUUUUUUUUUUUAAAUAUUAUGUGACUGUUCAAAGAGUUGUAGUUUUUCUUUGUCAUAUUUAUGAAAACGUAAAAGACAUUUUUAUUUUAACAUGGCUUUGGUGAAACGUUUACUAAAAGGUGGUCCUGGAAUCUGGGCUCUGGUGGACGUCGUCUCAUCUCGUCUCAUCUCGUCUCGUGUCAUUUCUCUGUAUGUUCCUGUGAAAGUGCUAAUGCAUCAAAUGUUCUCUCUGGUCCCCGUGCACCAGGCCCAAUGCUCUCCGCGUUGCCAUGACGACAAAUUUAACAGGUUGCAAUUAUAGAAAGUGCUGUACCGCUGGGUGUCUCACAGACAGAGGGGACGCUCUUAUUUCUGUUUGUGAAUUCCUCUUCCUUUCUGUUUGCAGUACAACGCCGCGCUCCGUCGGCCUGAGCUUCAGUUUAAUCAUAAAUAUCUGAUGAGAUUGUACGUGAGGAGGAGGAGGAGAGACCCGGGGUCGUCUUUAAAAAAAAAACACACAAGUGAUGGAAUCAGCUCCCGUUAAAAAUGGAAAUCUUUCAUCUGUGACAGUGAGAUAAAUCAGGAACUUCAGCUUCUCUGUCUGGAGUAAAAGUAAAAAACCUCCUCAAUGACUGUAUUCUGCAUCUAAAAUACUACCAGUGCAGUACUGUAACGUAAAACCACAGCGUACGACAAGUGAAACAGCUGGUGUGUACCAGAUCUUUUUAAAUGAUUCAGUAGCGGUGGAAGACAAACCCGUCCUCCCCCGAUCAUCAAACCACGGGCGGCGUUUGUGUUUCCGUGGGUUCAUUAGUGUCUGACCGAGGAAUUUCUCUGUGUCGUGACUCUGACGUCAUCGUCGACGCAGCCUGGCCACAGAUGCAGGAGACGGUGUUGAAAUCUGUCUCUGAGUCACAGGUCAAACUCAAGGCCCGUGAUCCAAAUCCGGCCCGCUGCAUCACUUUAUGUGGCCCAGUAGUGUUUGUGAAGUGUGUGGUUGGCUCAAACAGUGGCCCCCAACCUUUUUUUUGGUACAGAUGACUGGACGGCCGAUACCGACCGUUACUGUGGAAUUAUCAUUAUAUUUUUAAUGUAAAACAUUUUUUAGACUUCUGGUCAUUGUGUCCCACUGCGGGCCGGUACCAAAUUAUCUAUGGACCGGUAUUGGUCCACAGACCAAGGGUUGAGGAUCCCUGCUCUAGAGUGAAGAGCCUACACAACAUUCCUCCUGAUUCUAAUUUCCCUUCUUCCAACUCGUCUAUUUUUCAUCAGUUACGUUUCCUGCUGCACAUGUUAAUGUCACGACCCCCCCCCCUCCACCCCCCCGACAUUCUUCCCAACCUCUGGUCUGUUCAAAUGAUGUCAAACUUGGACUUGGUCUUCUAAAUUCCGACCUCUUGAAUGAUCGACCAGAUCGACGUCUGUUCUCAGCCUCGUGACCUCGGAGUCGGGCAGUGACCGCCGCUCUACAGACGGUUUAAUGAGACAGUAAAGCAUGUCCAGCUGUCGGACACAUCACCGGGAAACACCAGGGGGCGUCGGCCUGUCACAUGGAGCGACUGCUCCAGGGCCGGGCCCAUCGCUGCCGACUGUGGAGGUUGUCAGAGGCAGAGAGGAAACACAGGCCUCUCUGAGUUUCUCAUCCAUCUUGUCUCUCCUCUCAACCACCAGGCAAACACACACACACACACACACACACACACACACACUCACACACAUACACACUAACUGUCAAAGAGCACCAGAGAGCAUACACAGAUCUGUGCAGACUGCAGCACCUCGGCGUACAGCUCAGCUGAUAGUUACCAUGGCGAUGAGGCUCUAUGUGACAUUUGCAAACAGAGAAAAGGAAAAAAAAAA